UUUAUCUCACGUAGACUUUGUUAUUAAGAUAGUUUAGAGUUAAUUACUUUUGUUACAUUUUUUCUUUAUUUUUAGCUUUAAUUUGUUUUACUCUCUAUAUAAAUAAGGUAUUUAUUUCAUUUGUUGGGAUCUAAGAAAAAUUGUAUACAUUUUUUUUUCAUUGUUAUUGAACGAGAUCAAAAGAUAUUUCAGUUUAAUAUGAUAUCAAAGUAAAUACUUUGAUUUUUUUUUCUUUCUCUUUCUCUUUCCUUUUUCCUUUUUCUUUUUUCUUUUCUCCAUCGCCCUUUAUUCUAAAAUUCCGAUCAUUUCUCCUGUGCCUCUAGUAACAACCUACCAACAUGAUAUGCUUGAUCCAUACUUCAUGCAUAUCAGUGAAAAUCCUAGUGUCGCGUUGGUUUCUCCGUCUCGAAUUACCAUUUGUGGUCGCGUUCAAUGGUUGUUUCCCUCCGUAGAAAGAAAAAAUUAGGGUUUGUAAAUGAUUCUCUUCCUUGCUCUUCUAAUAUUGAUUGCCUUUCUAUCGCGUGAGAAAGCUGUAAUACUAUGUUGAUGUCUUGGAUGAAAAAUUCUUUAGAGCCGGAUAUUGCUCAAAGUGUGAUGUGGAUGGAUUAUGUGGCUGAAAUUUGGUAUGAACUGCGCGAACGAUAUCAUCACGGGGAUGUGUUUCGUAUCUUUGAUUUGCAAGAAGAGAUUUAUGGCCUUCGUUAAGGUGAUUCUUCGAUUACAUCUUAUUAUACACGAUUAAAGAAACUUUGUCAAGAACUUGAGAAUCUUCGUUCCUUACCUUCUUGUACCUGUAAAAUCAAAUGCUCAUGUGCCCUAAUUCCCUAAAUUUGUGAGUAUCGGGAUGGGGAUUAUGUGAUUCGAUUUCUUAAAGGUCUUAACGAUCAAUAUUCUAGUGUUCAUUCCCCAAUCAUGCUCAUGGAUCCCCUCCCCAAUAUAAACAAAGUGUUUUCAUUGUUAGUGCAAUAAGAACGUCAAAUUUUUCCUAAUUCUGAAGAAAUUUCAACUAUUACUAAUGUCUCCAACUCUAUCUGUGCUAAUUCAAAGGGGUGUGGUGAUAUUGGUGGUCGUUCAUCUAGUAGUAGUGGCCGUCACUCAAGAUAUUGCUCUCAUUGCCACCGUUCAAAUCACACCAUUGACUUUUGUUUCCGCAAACAUGGUUUUUCUUCUCAUUUUUGCAAGAACGGAAAUUCUUCUGCCAAUAAUUGUGUUGCAUCUGAUGUUGAUGAUGACGAUCACAAAUCUAGUUGUGCUAAUGACUCUCCUGGUGAUUUUCCCCAUUCUAGUUUCACCACUAAGCAACAUAAGGUUUUAAAGACGUUAUUGCACAUAUCUUAAACCAGUUCUUCUCUUGUCAUGAAUCAUCUCUUUAAUUCACCCCUUAUAGGUUAUUUUUCUUUUCCUCAUAUUUCAAAUGUCAUAAAUAUCCAAUCUUGGAUUUUAGAUACUAGUUCUACAAAUCAUGUAUGUUAUUCUGAUUCUCUUUUCUAAUCUUUGAAACGUAUUAAACAUGUUCGUAUUCGUUUUUCUAAUGGUUGUGCCAUCACAACUGAACUUGUUGGAACUAUAUUCUUUAAUUUUGAAUUUUACCUAUGUGAUGUUCUUUUUAUUCAUGAAUUUUCUUGUAAUUUGAUUUCCAUUCCUUGUCUAAUUAUGUCUUUAAACUGCAAUUUAAUUUUUAAUGCAUAUAACUGUUGGAUACAAGACUAUUGUUUCCACUCCUAUUGCCAAUUGUAUUUUUAAUUCUUGUUUAGCAAAUGUUACAGGCCCACCUGUUUGUAAUAUUUGGCAUAAUCGCCUUGGACAUGCUUCUUUUGAUGUUUUGAACCAUAUGAAUAAAAGUUUUCCCUUCAUUAGAAUUUCUAAAUCUGUUUCUCCAUGUGAUAUUUGUUUUCAUGCUAAGCAUAAACGUUUACCUUUCCGUAAUAGUACUACUAUUGCUGAUUGUUGUUUUGAUCUAAUUCACAUGGAUAUAUGAGGUCCUUUUUCUGUGGCUUCCAUUUUGGGUUACAAAUAUUUUUUAACAGUUGUUGAUGACAAAUCUUGUUUUUGUUGGGUAUAUCUCAUGAAAUUAAAAUCAAAAACUUCGUCUCUAGUUAAAUAUUUAGUUUCCAUUAUCCAAACUCAAUUUCAUAAAACCAUUAAAUUUAUUCGUUCACACAAUGGAAACGAAUUUUGACUCAAAGAUUUUUUUCCAAACCAACUAGAUUUUUCAUCAGACAUCUUGUGUGGAUACGCCUCAACAAAAUGGUUGAGUGUAAAUAUCAACAUAUUUUAAAUAUUGCUCGUGCUUUAAUGUUUCAGUCACAAUUAUCAAUUAAAUUUUGGGCACAUGUUGUUGUACAUUUUGCUUUCUUAAUUAAUAGGUUGUCAUCCAGGUUUUUAAGUUACAAGUCUCCUUUUCAUAUUUUACAUGGUUUUUUACCUGAUAUUUAUGAAAUAAAGAUUUCCGGUUGCUUAUGGUAUGCUUCUAUCUUAAAAUCAAAUAGAAAGAAAUUUGAUCCUCGAUCUUGUAAAUGCAUUUAUUUGGGCCAUAAAUUUGGAACUAAAGGAUAUAUUCUAUUUGACUUACAUAAUUGAGAAAUUUUUGCUUCUCACGAUAUUGUUUUCUUGAAAAUGUAUUUCCUUUUAGUGGUUGUCAACAGGAUCAAAUACUUUUAUCCAUUCCUUCCAUCAAUCCUACUUCAAUUGAUUUUCUUUUUGAUUUACCACCAACUCCUAUAGACAAUGCUCAUGCCCCUAGUUUUUCACCACAACUCUCAUUUUCAAAUUAUGUCACUCCUUUUCCUUCACCAAUUACUACUACACCACACCCAAUUCCAACUUUUUCCCCUCAAUCCACCCUUCCAUUCCUACUAGAAAGUCUACCCGAAAAGUUAAACCUCCAUCAUAUGUUAAGGACUUUCAUUGUGAACUUUUGACCGAUAAGAAUCCUAAUUCGAAUGUUCUCCAUUUGCACAGUUCAGGUUGAGUCAAUUCUUAUCUGAUCCAACUGAUUUACACCUCCAGACUGCCAUCCACAUUCUUUGCUACAUUAAAUCCAGUCUUGAUAGUGGCUUAUUCUACAACAGCAUUUCAACCUUCAAUUUGAUGGGCUUUUGUGAUUCUGAUUGGGGCAUUUACUUAGACACACGACGCUCCACUUCUAGUUUGUGUUUUUAUCUUGGCUCAUCUUUGGUCUCUUGGAAAAGCAAGAAACAGCCCACCGUUUCACACUUUUCAUUUGAAGCAGAGUAUCGUGCUCUUGCUCACGCCACAUGCGAAGCUCAGUGACUGUUAUAUUUGUUAGCUGAUUUCCAGAUCUCUUAUUCAGCACCUGUGCAGAUUUUUUGUGAUAAUAAAUCAACCAUGCAUAUCGCCUCCAAUCCGGUGUUUCACGAGCGCACCAAGUAUAUUGAGAUGGAUUUUCACAUUGUUCGCGACAAAAUUCAAGUUGGGGUCAUUCAUUUGCUGCCAAUUUCAACUUCAAAUCGAAUUGCAGAUUUACUAACAAAGUCCCUACACUUUGGUCCUUUCACAUAUUUAACCUCCAAACUUGGUCUUCUUGAUAUCCACUCAAGUUUGACAGAGGAUGUUAGCUUAUCAUAACUACCAUUUUCUUAUUUGUUUAUCUCAGUUAUAGUUUGUUAUUAAAAUAAUUUAAAGUUAAUUACAUUUGUUAAUAUGUUCCCUUAUUUUUAGCUUUAAUUUAUUUUACUCUCUGUAUAAAUACAGGACCAUUAUUUCAUUUGUUGAGAUGUAAGAAGAAUUCCACACAACAUUUUUUUCUUCA